AUGCUUUCGCCGGGUACGCCUCUCCCGCGUUGCCAGUGUUUCUCGACGGUAUUCCGUACAGACCCCGUCUCGCACAUGCGCUUUUCCUCGGUGCUUCGUGCUCGCUCGCUUGGAGCUGCACCGCCUCGUCUAGCCGCUUCACUUGAUGGUGUUGGUCGUUCUUCAGCGACUCUUCCCACGGCUUCCGCACCUGGUGAUUGUCGCCCUACGUCGACUCAUGACGAGGCUUCCACAUUCGGCGGUGACCGCUCUACCUCGAAUCCCCCAGUGGCUUUCACAUGCGGCUCUACGUCGACUCGCUACUCUCGGUCGACUCUGCACGCGGCUUCCAUGGGUGGAGGCGACUGCUCAUCGUCAGCAGGUGUUUCUACCUCGACCUCUUCGACCGUGUCCUUGUCUGCGCAUGAGAUUGCACAGUUGAAAUGCCUGCUUGAUGCUUGGGAUUCUUCACCGACGGUUUCUGCAGGUUCUGUGGCUGACUCUUCUGGCACUGAGAAACCACCUUCUACUUAUUCAGGUACAUCCCCAUGGAUUCUUGAUACUGGAGCGUCUUCUCACAUGACUUAUGAUUCUUCCACUUUGACCUCCAUUCAACCUGUCGAGUCUCAUGUACGUGUUCUUACGGCUGAUGGCACUCCCCUCCCUGUAGCUAGUCAAGGCACUCUUAGCACUUCUUCAUUCCCCUCUGUCGCUCAUGUUCCUCGACUUACCAUGCAGCUCAUAUCUGGUGGUCAGAUUGUCGACUCUAGUUGUAGGGUCAUUCUCGACUUCGAUUCAUGUUCUGUUCAGGAUCGUCACACGGGCACUUUGCUUGGUGCUGGCCCUCGACGCUUUGAUGGUCUUUGGGAGCUUGACUGGCUUUGUCUUCACUCCGCUGCCACCACCGCCAGUCUCGCGGCCCCUAUAGCUGCAUCUACUAGCUCUUUUCAGCAGUGGCAUCAUCGUCUUGGCCAUUUAUGUGGUUCUCGUCUCUCGUCUUUGGUUCAUCGCGGUGUUCUGGGGUCUGUCUCCGGUAACGCUUCGUUGGAUUGUCUGGGUUGUAGACUUGGUAAGCAGAUUCAGCUACCCUACCCUCACAGUGAGUCAGUGUCCGAGCGUCCUUUUGAUCUCGUUCACUCUGAUGUUUGGGGUCCGGCUCCCUUCGCUUCGAAAGGGGGUCAUCGCAACUAUAUUAUCUUUAUAGACGUUUUUUCUCGAUACACUUGGAUCUAUUUCAUGUCUUCUCGUAGUGAGGUCUUACCUAUAUACAAAAAGUUUGCUCCCAUGGUUCAUACCCAGUAUUCCACUCCUAUUCAUGUUUUCCGCGCAGAUUCAGCUGGUGAGUAUAUCUCCCAUGCACUGCGAGGAUUUCUUGCUGAGCAGGGUACUCUUACUCGGUUCUCUUGCCCUGGUGCUCAUGCUCAGAAUGGUGUGGCUGAGCGCAAGCAUCGUCACCUUCUUGAGACGACGCAUGCAAUGAUGAUUGCCGCCUCUCUUCCGCCUCACUUUUGGGCUGAGGCUGUUACCACUUCCACCUACCUCAUCAACAUUCAGCCUUCUGCUGCUCUACAGGGUGGUAUUCCUCUCGAGCGUCUUUCUAGUCGUUCUCCUGAUUAUUCGGCGCUCCGUUUGUUUGGUUGCGUUUGCUAUGUUUUGCUUGCCUCUCGUGAACGCACCAAACUGACCGCUCAGUCUGUUGAGUGUGUCUUCCUUGGAUACAGUGAUGAGCAUAAGGGCUAUCGGUGUUGGGAUCCUGUCGAUCGCCGGAUGCGUAUUUCCCGGGAUGUGACCUUUGAUGAAUCUCGUCCCUUCUACUCGCGUCUGUCCUCCUCGGCUUUUUCUACGGAGGACAUCUCAUUCCUUACAUUUCCGGAUACACCACCCUUUGUGCCCGGUAUUCUUACUCCUCGUCCCGCUGUUACAGAACCGACCCCGUCCUCUCCUACGGUUUCUUCUCCUCCCUCAUCGCAUAACUUCCCACCUUCAUCACCGAUACCUUCCACUUCUCCACCUUCAUCACCGAUACAUUCCCCGUCUCCACCUCCAGUGAUUCCACCUCUUCCCUCCUUUCCUUUCCAUUAUACUCGUCGUUCACGUGUUGUGGAUAAGUCUACAGAUGUGCCUUCUACUUCUGGUGUGUCGUCUUCCUCCUCUCACCCGACUUAUGGUCUUCGUCCUCGGCCUUGUCCGCCCCUGACCGAUAUUCUCCUUCUCACUAUGGUCUUUCGACUGUUCUUGAGCUGA
rnacentral:rRNA from 1 species